rnacentral:rRNA from 1 species
CGUAGGGUGCGAGCGUUAAUCGGAAUUACUGGGCGUAAAGCGUGCGCAGGCGGUUUAGUAAGACAGGCGUGAAAUCCCCGGGCUCAACCUGGGAACUGCGCUUGUGACUGCUAAGCUAGAGUACGGCAGAGGGGGUGGAAUCCACGUGUAGCAGUGAAAUGCGUAGAGAUGUGGAGGAACACCAAUGGCGAAGGCAGCCCCCUGGGUCGAUACUGACGCUCAUGCACGAAAGCGUGGGUAGCAAACAGGAUUAGAUACCCUGGUAGUCCACGCCCUAAACGAUGUCAACUAGGUGUUGGGUGGGUAAAACCAUUUAGUACCGGAGCUAACGCGUGAAGUUGACCGCCUGGGGAGUACGGCCGCAAGGUUA